AAAAAGGGAGUUAGCUGCAACGACUAUCAAUCAAAGAAACCGCUACCCACGUUCACUCUCUACUUUAUCUUCUUCACUGCUCUCUGCUCUCUGUUUCCGCGUUGUCUCCAUUUUCCACAAUUGCCCUCCACUUAUUCAACAAAGCGCGUCUCGCAAGGGGCAUAUCCGUCAUUGCAUCCUUCUCUGCCCCUCUUCUUGGUUAUUGUUCCCUCCUCUUAGCUUUGGUGCAAGGGAUGAACUAAAUUUCGCUGAAAAAAUGUCAGAAAACGGGGAAGAGAAGUUACUGGCUGUGGCGCGGCACAUAGCGAAAACGCUGGGGCACAACAACACCAUGUCUGAUGACAUAUUCCAAAUACUCUCCAACUUCGACGGAAGGUUCUCGAGAGAGAAUCUUUCCGAAAAGGGCGCAGAGGCAGAUUCCAGGGCCUGCGCCGCACUCGAUCACUCCCUCAAAACCCUAGACCGCCGGAUCUCUAACUACGUCUCCUCCGACCGCCCAAUCUGGGCCGACGCCGCGGACUCCGCUGCCUUUCUCGACGCCGUGGACGAGCUCGUCGCCGCCGUCGCCGAGUGGAACCACCUCGCCUCCGACAAGGCCGUCGCCGCGUGCCUCGUCCGCGCCGAGGACAUGCUCCAGCACGCCAUGUUCCGCCUCGAGGACGAGUUCCGCUCGCUCAUGGAGCGCGGCGGCGAGUCCUUCGGCCUCACGCGCGACCCCCGCCACGGCGAGUCCGCGGAGAAUUUGCCGUUCGACUCGGAGGACGACGACGACGAUGAAGAAGCUAGGAACGGCGACGAUGAGCAGAUUCCGGUGGCGCUGCCGGUCACGGACUUCGACAUCAUCAUUGACGCGCUGCCGGCGGGGACGAUCAACGACCUCCACGAGAUCGCGAAGCGAAUGGUGGCCGGCGGGUUCGGGAAGGAGUGCUCGCACGUGUACAGCAGUUGCCGGAGGGAGUUCUUGGAGGAAAGCAUCUCGAGGUUAGGGUUACAGAAGCUGAGCAUCGAGGAAGUUCACAAGAUGACGUGGCCGGACCUCGAGGACGAGAUUGAGAAGUGGAUCAAAGCCUCCAACGUCGCUCUCAAAAUCCUCUUCCCCAGCGAGCGUAGACUCUGUGACCGCGUCUUCUUCGGAUUCGCCUCCGCCGCGGAUUUCUCGUUCAUGGAGGUUUGCCGCGGAUCCGCCAUUCAGUUGCUGAAUUUUGCCGACGCCGUCGCCAUCGGGAGCCGUUCGCCGGAGCGGUUAUUCAGAAUCCUCGACGUGUUCGAGACGCUGCGUGACCUAAUUCCGGAGUUUGAUGCUCUGUUUUCUGAUCAGUUCAGUGUGUCGCUCAGGAAUGAAGCGGUUACUAUUUGGAAGAGAUUGGGCGAAGCGAUUAGGGGCAUUUUUAUGGAGCUGGAGAAUUUGAUUCGCCGGGAUCCGGCGAAGAUGGCGGUUCCCGGCGGCGGUCUUCAUCCGAUUACUCGCUACGUGAUGAACUACCUCCGUGCGGCUUGCCGGUCGCGGCAGAGCUUGGAGCAAGUUUUUGAAGAUUAUGGAUUAAAAGACUAUCCCAAGCUUGAUGAUAGGUUGCCCAAUUCAUCUUCUCUGUCAGUGCAAAUGGAUUGGAUUAUGGAGCUGUUAGAGAGCAAUUUGGAAGCUAAGUCCAAGAUUUACAAGGACCCUGCAUUGUGUUAUGUUUUCUUGAUGAACAAUGGCAGGUACAUUGUUCAGAAGACCAAGGACAGUGAAUUGGGAACCCUCUUGGGGGAUGAUUGGAUCCGAAAACACGCUGCAAAAGUUCGACAAUUCCAUGUGCAUUAUCAAAGAAGCUCGUGGAAUAAGGUUCUGGGGAUUCUGAAGCUGGAUAGUAAUGGCUCGUUGCCUCCUAAUGGUUUAGCAAAAGCAAUGAAGGAGAAGCUCAAGUCGUUUAACGCGGCGUUUGAGGAGAUUUGUAGGGAUCAGUCUUCAUGGUUUGUCUUUGAUGAGCAGCUUAGGGAAGAAAUAAGAAUUUCCCUUGAGAAGAUCUUGUUGCCUGCUUAUGGAAACUUCAUUGCGAGGUUUCAGGGUGUUCCGGAGCUUGGGAAGCAUGCUGAUAAGUAUAUCAAGUUUGGAACGGAGGACAUUCAAUCAAGACUCAAUGAUUUGUUUCAGGGAAGCAGUGGAUCAACUGGUAGCCGAAAGUGAAGGUGAAACUGCCACUAGUUUUUCGUGUGUAUUAUUUGUAGUGUAAUUAAAAUACAGUGUUUUGAUUAUCACAAAUGUAGUCGAUAAGGAUUUGUAGUUUGUAUUAUAAAAUACUACUACUGUAUGUUAUUCUGUUUAGCAUCAUUGUGGAGAUGAUUGGGAAAGAUUUUGAAGUUAAGAGCCGAUUGAGAAGUUAACGAUUUUGGUGUAACAUUAAGGUCCAAGUGGAUUAUGGGCUGCUGUACUGAUUAAUUCAAGCGGAUUAUGGAGUGUAACAUUAUUCCCUCCUUCCCAUCCUCGCAAUAUUAUCUCUUUUUCUCUUUUCCAAAUAUAAUACUGAAGUGAGAACAGAGAACCCAUAGUUGAUUUCCAAUACUUGCUUUCUGUGGUGUUCAGUAUUUCUUAACAUGCUCAGACCUAAAACUCCCUCAUUGGAGACAAGUGUUCUGAAAAUUUUGAAAAUGUAAUAUUGAAAAUGUUCUGAAAAUUGGAGACAAAAUGGAUCACA